UUUCAGUUUGUCGCAGAGUAGAAAAAUAAAAAAGGAAAAAAAAAAAAAAAGGCUCAGUAAUUUAAAUUUGCUCUCAGUUCAGGCUGCAAUGCUGGGUCCCGCCCCUUCUUCCGGCUGGGUUCCACUACCUGCAAGGCUGGAAUUGACAGCCACCGUGCAAACAAAAAAAGGCAACAAGCAUGCUGGGACCAUUCCGUCUGCUGUUGGGGUCUCACUUGUCCUGACAACUAAAAAUCAUCAGUGGAAAGAACUGUAACUGUUCUCUUCAGAUGAGGGUGUUAGCAACGACUUCGGUAAUGAGGCUAUCAGAAGCCCGCAUGUGGUAGAGAACAUCUAUAAAGCUGCCUCUUGAUCUGAAGCAUUGCAUUUAUAGGAGUUUAUGGCGUUGGCGUACCUAUUCAAGUCUGAGUUUUUCUCUGAUCAUCCGACCACCCUAACUUAAGAGUACCAUGCUGACGUCACAUAGCUGGGGGUCUCAUCAGGAAACCAAACCAAUUAAGGAUGGAAAGGUCUGGGGAAGCACAGAGUGAAACUCCAUCUUCGUCUUGUAUUAUAACCUUUAUGAAGACUAUUUCUCUACUACCGUCAGCAGUGAAUGACUUUGCUCACUUCCUACUAACAGCUGUAGCACAGAAAAGAAAAGGACAGGUCAAGUACUAGAGAAGCCAUGUUAACUUCCCAAAUAGGCAAUCAGCUUUAAUGAAACUGGUAAAUUACACCAAUGUGCUAAUUAUACAGGACUUUGUCACAGCAUAAGAGGUAAUAAAAUAACCCAUGUCUUGGCUUGGAAAGUGCUAUACAUAGAUUCUUUUUUUUUUUUUUUUUUUUUUUUUUAAUUGAGAUGUAGUUUUGCUAGUUACCCAGGCUGGAGUGCAAUGGUGCGAUCUCAGCUCACAGCAACCUCUGCCUCCUGGGUUCAGGCAAUUCUCCUGCCUCAGCCUCCUGAGUAGCUGGGAUUACAGGCACGCGCCACCAUGCCCAGCUAAUUUUUUGUAUUUUUAGUAGAGACGAGGUUUCACCAUGUUGACCAGGAUGGUCUCGAUCUCUUGACCUCGUGAUCCACCCGCCUCGGCCUCCCAAAGUGCUGGGAUUACAGGCGUGAGCCACUGCGCCCGACCACAUAGAUUCUUUUAGAAGAUUUAAUUGAAGAGAGAUUUUUAUUUUCCUGAAGCAUUCUAUAAUUCCCAGGGGCAUUCUUGCCAUCCUUUCCUUUUUAAGACUAGUUCUAGACAAAAAAAAAAAAAAAAAAGGCAAAGAGAACCGAAAAUAAUGACUUAAAAAUACGUUCUUACAAAUAUUUAUGACUAAAUUGCCAACAUUAGUUACUUUGGUAUAACUGUGAACACAGCAUACUUAGACCAUGUUAGGGAAUAUGAAAAUACAGAGUGGCACAUAUUGGUUUAUACUCUGAAUGUCUAUUUUAAAUGAAGAAAUAAUACUUUCAUGUUGAUCAAUGUUUACUGACUUCAGUUAGAAAAAUAUUAAUUUUUUAAGAGACAAAGUCUCUCUUUGUUGCCCAGGCCAGAGUGCAGUGACAUGAUAAUGACUCACUACAGCCUCAACAUCCUGGGCUCAAGCCAUCCUUCCACCUCAGCCUCCUGAGUAGCUGGGACUACAGGUGCAUACCACCAUGCUUGCUAAUUCUUUAUUUCAUUUUUUGUCGAGAUGGGGGCCUCACUGUGUUGCCCAGGCAGGUCUCAAACUACUAAUUUCAAGAUAACUUCCUGUCUCAGCUUCCCAAAGUGCUGGGAUUAUAGGAGAAUAUUAAUUUUGAUUAAAACAAAACAAUCCUGACAUUAAACUUCAGAGAAGGAACAUUUUUGUUUAGCUAAUGUCAGCUAGGUGUUAGCAAACGUGUCUCACACAUGAUUCCACUAGAUAUUUAACCUAUUAUUUCAGAGAAUUUUACUUGGUGCUAGGGAGAUUAAGUAAUAUACUGCAUAUCUCACAGCCAUUCUGGAAAAAAAAUACACUUCAAAAAUAAAUAUCCUACUAAGAUGUUAGGGAAUUCUGUGUAGUGAUAUACAUUUCAGCGGCUUUCCCAUCAUAGAAAUGUGUUUUAAAGCAAUACAGGGAACAAGUUUCCUGGAGACAUAUUUUAAAUAAUGUGGAAUAAGUUUACUGUCAUAUACUAUUUAAAUUGUCAUGCUCAGAGAAAAUUAAUAUCAAGGUGGGAAAUGCUAAUUCAUUUUUUAAAAGCUGUAUCAAAUUAAUACAUUUUAAUCUUUCCAAUUAUAACUGACAAAUAUCAUUUUCAAACUUCUUGCAUAUAUUAAAAUUAUUUCUUUUCGAUAAAUGUA